UACGAAGGGGGCUAGCGUUGCUCGGAAUCACUGGGCGUAAAGGGUGCGUAGGCGGGUCUUUUAAGUCAGGGGUGAAAUCCUGGAGCUCAACUCCAGAACUACCUUUGAUACUGAAGAUCUUGAGUUCGGGAGAGGUGAGUGGAACUGCGGGUGUAGAGGUGAAAUUCGUAGAUAUUCGCAAGAACACCAGUGGCGAAGGCGGCUCACUGGCCCGAUACUGACGCUGAGGCACGAAAGCGUGGGGAGCAAACAGG
rnacentral:rRNA from 1 species